CUUAUUAUGUGAUAUUUAUAAAUUUUAUGCAUAAAUAUUAUAAUAUCUAAUGGGCCCCGGGUAUUAUUAUGAAAAUAAAGAGUAUAAGAAAAAAAAAAAAAAAAAAAACCUUAGGGGCAUUAUAUAAUAUUUUACAAAAUUAAUUUUAGGGGUAUUAUAUAAUACUUUAUGAAAUUUAGGGGGUAUUAUGUGAUAUUUUAUAAAUACAAUGGGCUCGGGGCACCUAUGCUUGCUCCGCCCCCUGGACCCAAUGCUGCCGAUCAAUUAAUCAAUCUCUCACCUCUUCUUUGAAAUAUCCUGUGUGCUCAUAUCAAUGUAGGAGAGACUGGGAGGAGUAUUCGAUUUCGCUUCACUUUUUCCAAUAAAAAAAUAUUUCCUUUUUAGGGUUUUUCAUUACAGUAACAUCUUCAAUGGGUGAAUGGAAGAUGAAAAAGAUGUCUACGCCAGCUCUGUUUGAACAAGCUCGAAAGGUUCAUUUAAUGGCGUCCCAGUCUGGCAUUGAUCAGGCGUAGAAAUAUGAAAUGCCACCUAACAACACUAGUGUUACAGAAGAAAACCAGGAUGGAAUUAUGGAAAACCUUGCUUUUGGCAAAAUGAUUCUUAUGCCCUUGUGUUGUAUUCUGAUUCUGCUUACUGAUUUUGUGGGAGAAAGGCUUGCUGAUAAACAACGAAUUGUUACAUUACUCAAACGCCGUGAGGGAUACUUUGUCUGUGAUGGUGGCUGCACCUUUGUUAGCAUUUGUUCAGUAGUAAUUCAGACUUACCUACAUUGACAUCAUGCUGUAUCUUCUGAUUUGGGACAGUGUCAAUCGUAACCUCAGGCUUAAUAUUCUGCAAUAAAAUAAAUUUAAUUAAUUAAUAUAUUGCAAGACCAUCACAACAAUAUGAAAGGAGAUUGGAAACUUGAGGGUCAUUUUGAUGUACAUAUUGGUUUAUGGUUGGAUGCAGCCAACCAGUAGUGAUUGCUUUUAUGGUUGCUAUGGCUUCCAAUCCUCCUGCAGCUCCUAGAACAUGCCCAGUCAUUGACUGAAAAUUUUAACAUGUUACUGAUAUUGGUAUACAAAAUGAAGAUUUAACUCUUAUUUGAUUAGUUUAAAUAAGCAAUAUGCAUCUAUCAGUUGUUGGUGAUCUUUUUAAAUGACUUGCAUUCAGGAUUAGGCAUUGAUUUUCUCAUUCGAUUAUCCUGUUCACAAGUGGAAUCUUAGGGUCCGUUUGGUUAGCAUGAAGCAGCAAGAAAGGAAAGGAAAGAGAAAAAAUUUAAAUGUUUUAGUAGUUUGGUUAGAUAGAAAGUGAAAUUUUUGGGGAAUGUAAAUUUCCCGCAUCUGAUAAUUUUCCUCAAAUUUUUUCUAGCAUGAAACACAUGAAAAUCUACUUUCCCGCAAAAGUUGUGCACUAUAUUUAUUGCUUUUCUUAUUAUGCCCAUAUCAGUUGUCUAAACUAGACAGACUUCAUUGAAAAGGUAAAGUUUCCUUCUUCUGUAAAUUACUUAAUUUGUCUAUUACUAAUUUAAUUGUUUGUAAUUUUAUGUGUGUCUGUAAAAUUAAUUUAAUUUUUCCUUCCAUUAUUAAAUUAUUAUUUUUCAUUAUUUUUCGAUGAUGGCUGCAAUUGCCCAAUUUUGCACCGUCAGUGAACCUUAAACAUGUGAAACGGGAUACCAUUAUCUCAUAAACCAUGUCAUCUCAAGACAACAUACAAUAUUACAUACAUAUAUGUAUAUAUUAGCUAGAGUCCUGCCUUGUUCCACUCAUUGAGAUACACCCAAUGACUCAAGAUUUUGUUAACAAUAAAACAGAGUUGGCAUAAUUUCUUCGUAGUAAUAAUAAUCAAUAUUUUUUUCAUAUACACAAGUUAAAUUAGUCAAUUAUAUUGGUACUUACUCCACUUUCAAAGUGUAAAAAGUCGAGGGUUCUAGUCCUCGUAAAAAAAUGCAAAAAAUUAUACAGUACAUGAUAUCACAUAUUAUUCUAUUUCAUAUUUCACUAUUUGCUUACUAAAAUAAAUAAUUAAGUAUAAAGAAUAUUCAUCUAACUCAAAUUUAUUUAUUUUUUUACUAUUUAUAAUUAUAAGGGUAUUUUUGGUAAGUAAAAUCAUUUUCUUUUCUUUUUCAUGCUAUCCAAACUAACAAUAAUAUUUUCUCACAACUUUCUUCAAAAAAAUUCUUGCUAACCAAAUGCACGAUGGAAACUUGAUUUUCCUUUCUUUCACUUCACUUUCUUUCACUUUCACUUUCCAUUAAAUUUCCCGUCUAACCAAAUGAACCCUUAAGAUCAUUUUGAUGGAUGCACUAUUAUAAUUAGGUUUCAUAAUCUUGCCUUUGUUGCAUUCAUCUUCAUUUUAGUUGUGUCCCUGAAAGCGUUUUUGAUGGCAUUGAGCUCAGCUAAAUCUCCCAUGCGCGUGGAUGCUGUGUGAGCAUUCACGUAAUUCACCUGCAAUUCAUCAAUAUAAGCUUUUACACUAGAGCUGAAAAUGUUUGUAAUGUUAAUCAAAGAAGGAUGCAUUUAUUUGGGGCCCGUUUACUAACGCUUUUACUUUCUUAUUUUUACUUUCUUCAAAAGUAAAAUUAUAAUUUUCAUUUCUGAAUCUAAAAUAUAAAGUAGAAUUAUGUUUACUAAUUUGUCAUCCUUUCAAUAUUUUCAAAGCAAGAAAUUAAAAAGUAAGUUCAUAAUUAUAAUUUUGAUUUUGUUUUCUAAAUUGACAAUCAAUGUUAUAUACUAUCUAUAUGUAUAUAUUUAUAUAUAUAUAGCUCUGUGGGAAGCUCCUGAAAUCAAAGGGCAUCGCAAGACCCAGAUCAUUUCUUCUGUGAAAUCAAAGGGCAUCACCACCAACAUCGCCAAUUGUAUUUAAUACACACCACCAAUUGUUUCACAAACCCAAAACCAAACACCAAACAAUGAAGAACCCUUCCCUCUCUUCAUUUCUUCUUCUCUUUUCUCUCCAAUUCUUUUCUUGUGCUUUAUCAGAUUCAAUCUACGACAGUUUCCGUCAAUGCCUCUCCAAGAACUCACCAUCAGACCCAAUUUCCGCCAGCACUCUCUACAGCCCAUCAAUCUUACAUAAACCCUCACUCAUCAUCACCCCUCUCCGCGAAUCCCAUGUCAGCCCCGUCCUGCUUUGCGCCAAAAUUCUGGGGAGCUUGCAACUUCAAGAUUCUGGUCAUUUGUGACUUACUCUCUCUUAAUCAAUUCCUUUAACUUAUUUCUUUUUAUCGGGAGUGUUUGUAGAGAGACAGAGGAGAGAGAAGCGAUGAUGGUGGUGGUUGUCGGCAAUGGUGAUGGUGGCGGUGGUUGUCGACGGCGAGGAGGUGGCAGUGGCAAUGACCGUGGUGGGGAGGAGAUGGGCGAUGGUGCUACAGUAGAGAAAGUGAUUUCUACAAACAGUGUAGAAAAUGUAGAAAGUGAGGAUUUCUCACUUUCUCCUCUCUUCACAAAAUUAGAAAGUACUUUCUUAAAACAAAAAAGUGAAAGUAUUUUAUUAAACACGAUUUUUACUUUUGAUUCUCAAUUUUAGGAAUUGACAGUAGAAAUCAGGAAUCAUUCCUGUUAGUAAAUAGGCCCUUGGUAAUGUGAUGUCACUUUACUCAUUGUGUCUUCAUAUUCAGGUAGCAUAGAAACCAGUGUUGUCAAAGGCAUGCUUAGGCUCCUGCCUAGGCUCAAGGCUCAUACAAGCGCAACACUUGCGCCUGUUGUGUGCUCAGGUCUGCUCCUAGGCUCCAAAGGACCACUAGCGCCGUGGGCUUUUGAUAACACUGAUAGAAACAGAACUGGACAUAACGAGAUGAACACAGCAAUUUUUUGAUUUGCUUGCAUUCUGGGGUGAUUUCUCUACAAUUUUGUGGCACCGUAGCUGGCCAUCUUUGAUCAAAACUUGGGGAAAUCUUUGUAUUGUCAAUUUUGGUGAACAAUCAAUUAUCAGUCUGAAUAUGCAUAUCAAAGGGUGAAAAGGAGCUUUCAAACCUCUCCUGGGGAGACUCCAGCAUUUUCCAAGCUCUUGGUUAUACAACCUAUAACUCCAAGUCCGUCAGAACAUGGCUCAGUCAGGUGCUGAGCAUCACAUGUUAUGGCUCCUCCUAGGUACUCUGCUAUUAUUUUUGCUCCUCGUUUUGUUGCAUGCUCCAAGCUCUCCAUAACCUUCUCUCAGUGCACAAACUUUAGUAUACCAUGUAUUGAAUUCCAAAUAGGAAGUAAAAGCAACAUAUAUGUAUGUUAAAUAUGCAUAUAUGUUUGUAUGUUUAUAGAUAUAUAUAUAUAUAUAUUUAAGAAGAGUGUACAUUCCUCUCUGCUAUUCGACAUUUAUGUAUACUCUGAAUCGUGAGCAUGCUAAAGAAUAAAUUCACUGCUGCAUUGGGCACUGUAUGGCUACUAACGUUGGUAGAUAUACAUGUGUUUAUAAGCAAGUAUCGAUGAGUUUGGGAGGACAGUAAACAAUUUUAGGAACUAGAAGGCGUCAAAUGUAUGAUUCAUUACCAGCACACUGGCGCCUUCACUCAAGACAAAACCAUCACGAUCUUUAUCCCAUGGCCUCGAAGCUUUCUCUGGUUCAUCGUUUCUCUUUGACAAAGCCCUACAAGCCGAAAAUCCACAGAUACUAGUAGGAAUAACUCCUGCUUCACUUCCACCAGGGAUCAUAAUUUCUGCUUCACCCCUUCUAAUGUGAUUUGCCUUGGCAUAGAAACAAUAAUUUGCAGUUGCACAAGCUGCUGAAAUGGAAGUAUGGUGCUAAAAUUUUACUGUAUUCUUCCUGGAGAAAGGCAUUUACUGAUUUGCAUAACGAUGUACACCUCCUGAGCCUGAACCCGUCACUACUCCAAUGGUUGCCUCGUGCAUUGUUGAAUGAAGUUGAUUUUUUCGUUGCAAAAGAUUUGAUGAGCUGAUAUAUUAUUGAUGGACAUCCAAGUUACGUAUGUUUUUGAGGACUGCAGGGCCGAGGUUGGCAUCUACGAUAGCUUUCUUUGCAGCCACAAUGCUAUAUCUCCAGUAGUCAUCGAAAGAUUGAUCAGACGCGCUCUUUAAGUAGCACUCUGAAGAGAAGUGCCGAAUCUGACCUGCAAUUCUAACAGGGAAGUCUAGAGUAUCGAACUUGUUGAUUAAACUGAUGCCGCUUUCUCCCUUGAGGAGCACGUUGUAAACGACAUUGCCAAAUACUGAAAUGAGAACCAUUCCUGUUAUGACAAUCCGUUUCUUUGGAUCUUUCUGUCGUAUUGGAGCUGAGGAGGUAGGAGAAGCCAUAGCCCUGAUUCGUCCUCAUCUUCUAUCUGAGGAUGAGAAACCACCCAUUGUAGGUUAGUAAAUAUUUGAAGAUGGUGACAUCCACUGCCGUGACAACUUAACUGGCAGAAUAUAUAUAUAUAUAUAUAUAUAUUUAUUUAUAAGUAACAUUAACGGGCAGAAUAAAGUCCUAUCACACACAAUACUAGGUUUAUAUUAUAACCUACUAACAGCUUAUAUCACAAGCACAGCGAAACAGUGAGAAGGGCUAACUGCAUUGAUGUUGAAGUCAGGAAUGCAGAAGGUGAGUGAGAUUACUCAUUUGAAAGGCAAGCCAACUAGAUAUUCUUGGAUGAAGCCAUUGGGUUGUUUUCCACUGAUCUGAGGCCAUCGUAGUGAAGCAGUGUAGUAUCUUCAUUCUCAACGCCAAAUAUGAAGAAAAGGUAUUAGCAAUGCCUGCCAUGUCCUUUGUAGAGGCUUCUUUCCUUUUAGAGCUCUUUCAAAGUUGAUCUCUAUAUAAAUAAGGAAGUGUAAUAAAAUCCUUAGGUGGGGUAGGAGAUUGCUUUUAAUAUACUAUUUUUGUUGGCUACUGGAAUUUUAUUAACAGUGCAAUAUUCAAUAUUAAUUCUAUCAUUUUGAUUGCUCAUGUGAGUGAGGAUUUUUAGUAUUAACUUGUACUUCAACUAGAUGUUGAUUUAGUUA